UCUCCUUCCUUAUUUCCUUUCUUCUUCCUUAUUCGUAUGAACCCAAAGAAAUCAGGCACCAUUCUUUCUUCUUCUUCUUCAGUCGAAUACAUCAAGAAGCGUAAGAAGAUUUUCGAUCCGUGCCAGAAACAAGCUACAGACCAACAUUCUUCUUCUACAUUCUCGCCAUUCUCUCUGAAUUGGCGGAGUUCUCACUUCUUCCUCAAUUCAAUCUAUUGAUUUUUCGAGUGAACCAAGUUCCAUGGAUGCUCUACUCUUCUUAUAGAUUGUUGGUAUAAACAAACUAAGGAUUUUAUUCUAUUGAAAUGGUAAACAACAUAGCAGCAGCCGAGAAACCCCUUCCUUUGAUCUGAAUUCUGCCGAAAUGAGGGGAAGUGAGUGAGAUAUGGUUUUUCUGUUUAAGCAUAAAAUCCAAUUUGAAAAUUAAGCUUUGAAUCGUUUUCUUUCAAUUCUUGCUGCUGCAAACAAAAGGAGGCGACGUCAUCGAGGAACCAUUCUAGCUGUUAGCCGUGAACCGAUCACGGCUCUUUGAAGCGUCUUGUUGUUUGAUUACAGAUCGGAACCGGUCCGGAACGAUGGGUUAGCGAUGUUGGAUAGCAUUUCAAGGAUGGAUAUUGAGCUGAGCCCGUAGGAAUUCAUAGAUUUGUAAUAGGAUUUCGGAUAAAUGUACAUUAGAUUUGGUUGUGUUGGUUAUAUUCGACUUGUAGAGAAUUGUAUGUUCAUCUUGUGUUUUAGUUAGAUGUUUGUUUUGAGAUUUAGCUGAGUUGGUCACGUUAAAGAGCUUGUGACCCCUUUGCUCAAGUUUUGGGAGUAUGAUUUCAGUUUCUUGGGAAAUGAACCCCGUGAUAACCCUGUUUACUCAGUCAACGGUAAGUCGGGUUGUUACACUUCUCCUCUCUGAAAAUGCCAACUAAUUUCCGACCAUUCUAGCGGUCGGAAAAAUACCGACUCUUUUUUUAUUCGGUAAGCAAUCAGAAGUUCAUACCAAGUACAUGUUAGUAGGAAUUUAGUCGGAAAUUCCGACUGUUUGAAUUUAGUCGUUAAUUUGGUCGGAAAAUUUUGACUAUUUAUGGGUAAUCGGAAUAAUCAGUGGGUAAGUUGCGUUUUUUUUUUGUAGUGAAGGUUAAUAUUAAAUGUUUUACUUAUUUUAAAAUGUUUGAUUUUAUGGUUGAAUAAUAUUUAUAUUUUAUCAAACUUCAAACCGGUUUCCUUAAAUAAAAGGAAAAGGAAGGUCCUUAUUA